rnacentral:siRNA from 1 species
UAGCAUAUGUCUAUUUUAGUGU